AAAGGGCAAUGAGUUGACUGCACACGAAGCGAGGUGGACGGAGCUUGAUUUACAGUUACUGUAUAUCACCGUGUUUAAAAGUAACCGAGCUGUAAUCUUUUGCGCUGGCAUUUUGCACUCAGUGAAUCUGAAUCCUCGUCGGGAUGAGAGCUAAGUGGAGAAAGAAGCGCAUGCGCAGGCUGAAGCGCAAAAGGAGAAAGAUGAGGCAGAGGUCUAAGUAAACGGUCUUGAUGUCAUGUUGCUGUCUCAGAGUCCAGUUCUGAGGACUGUCGUCUACAUCAGCCAGAGCCAUCUACAGAGCCUGUGGAGAUGAGCUGAAUGGCGAUCAUUUCUUCUGGAAUGUUCUGAGCUCCUUUUAUUGCCAGCUUUUGUCAUUUGUAUUUCUUAUUAAAAGUUAACAAAAACAAAGCU